UGGGAAUCUGGAGUGGUCCCUGCUGACUGGAAGCUAGUCAAUGUUGUCCCAAUUUUCAAGAAGGGCAAAAAGGAGGACCCCAGAAACUACAGGCCUAUAAGUCUCACUUCAGUGCCUGAUAAAAUCAUGGAGAAGAUUAUUCUGGAAUGUAUUGAAAAACACCUGAAGGACAAUGCAGCAGUCAAUUAAAACAGUCAGCAGAGCUUCAUGAGGGGAAAAUCCCACUUGUCAAACCUGAUUUCCUUCUUCAACAGGAUAAUCCACCUAGUGGAUCUCGAAAAGCGAAUAGAUAUAGUUUUUUCUGACUACCGGAGAACUUUUGAUACUGUCUCUCACAGGAUCCUUCUGGACAAAUGUCCAGCGUACAGCUGGAUAGCAAUCUCACAUGAGGGGUGAGCAACUGGCUCACAGGUCAGGCACAAAUAAUUAUAGCAAAUGGAGUAACAGACUGGCGUCUAGUCCCUAGAGGGUUCCACAGGUCUCCAUCCUCAGCCCAGUGCUCCUCAAGGUGUUCAUUAAUGACUUGGAUGCAGGACUUGAAGGAAUGCUAAGUAAAUUUGUCAACAACACUAAAUUUAGAGGAGCUGUUGACUCCCCUGAAGGCAGAGAGGCCCUGCAGAGAGACCUGGACAAAUCAGAGAGAUAGGCAAUCACCAACUGUAUGAAAUUUAACAAAGGCAAGUGCCAGAUUCUGUACUUGGGAUGGGGCAACUCUAGUUGUGCCUAUAGACUAGGGAAUGACAGGCUGGAGAGCAGCACUGCAGAAAGGGACAUGGGGAUCCUGGUAAACAGCAAUUUGAAUAUGUCAGCAGUGCCCUGGCAGCCAGGAGGGCCAACUGUGUCCUGGUGGGCAUCAGGCAAAGUAUUGCUAGCCGGUGGAGGGAGGGGAUAGUCCCGCUCUGCUCUGCACUGGUACAGCCUCACCUUGAAUAUUGUGUGCAGUUUGGGGCAUCGUAAGAUAAAAAAGACAUCAAGUUCUUAGAGAGCAUCCAAAGGAGGGCAACAAGGAUGGUGGAAGGGAAGGCAUAUGAGGAGCAGCUGAUCUCACCUUUUCUAUUCAGCCUGGAGGAGACUUCAACAUCCUCACAAGGGGAAGCAGAGAGAUGUACUCUGCUGAUAAAUUUAAAUGGAAGAAAAUUGAAUUAAUAUUCAGUCUUGGAGAACAACUCAUCACGCAGGAAGGAAGCAUUCCUUUGUGAAUGGCAUUGUGAAUUACACUGGCUCAUAUCAUCUUUUUCCUCAGAGGCACCCCCACAAAAAAACCUCAAAACCAAAACCAACCAACCAAACAAAAACCAUUAAAAAAACCGAAGCAGACUGGAGAAAAAUCUCCAUGUGGAUGACCUUGCACAUUUUAUAGAUAACAGCCCCUCUGGGGCUGCAGAGUUCAGAGGCAUAUUUCAAACUGUAGGAAUUCUAGAGAGCUUGAAGUUUAAAAAAAAAAAAAAGAAAGAAAAAAGAAGGAAAAAGAAGACAACUCUCAUCUACUAUGAGCAUUCAGCUGUGAAAUAAUUACUCUACUGACCUUGUUUUACCACUGACAUCCAUGAGAGCAGAGAUUAAUAAAGGUUGAGUGCUUCUGCAAAUCUCACCUUUAGUGUCAGUAAGAAAACCUGCCCAUUCCAAAUUCUUACUUUAGCUGAUACUUUAAGGAAUUAUCAUGAAGACCUAUGAUAGCCCCUCCAAGGUUGGAAGGGCACGGAAGGGAGAACAGAAGAGAAAAUAUAAGGAGACAUAAGUUAUCUUUCCUUCCCUGCACCUACGUAAAAAGUUCCUCAGUCAAAAUGUCCAUUCUGCUUGUAAUAGUUAAUCAAGUCUUUAACUUUAUGUCUGAAUAUUAUUUAUGAUUAUUAAUUCUAUUUCAAACUGGUUUUAAUAUCUAAAUUAAAGCAUCACACUAACAAAGAAAGCGAUGAUGAAUUUUGCUGACAGUAGUACAAUGACUAAAAGAAUUUAUCUUUAUAUUACCACUUUAAUAAUGAAUUGCACAAAACUUCUGAAUACAUAGUGGAUGUGCCAGAGGCUUCAUGUAGCAAAAGUGAUCACCCUGAAGACAAAGGGUAAGACUACCUUCAGCCAAAUGAAAGUGUGGCUUUAUCUUGUACCCACAUGAACAUAACUCUUGCUGAGAAUAGUUAUAAACUUACUAGAAGAAUCUGGAAAUAGAAGGUAACAAAAUUUCACCUUUUCCAUACCAAAUGGAAAGCUGUAGUUGAGCAAAUAGAACAUGCUAAUGUCUAGAAAAUUUCAAACAGUUUGCAAACACUUUGAAUUUUCUUCAUGAAGCAUUUCGACUACAAAUAAAAGACAUUUCUAUGCAAGCAGGAAUUUCCUAUUGCAUACUGGGGAAGUAAUCUUCUUAUGAAUUUUGGGUGCAAUUAAGAGCAAGAACUAGGGUUGUGAAACUCCUAGUGAAGAAAUGGAAGUCAAAGAUAACAUGAAUUGGACCCAUACAGGCAGGCAUCAUUUAUGUUAAACAUAAAGCCCAUGAUGUGUUAAAGUUGUGCUACCUACUUAUGUUUCUACAAGUUAAAUUUCUUUUGUAAAGGUAUCAUUUAACAGGACAUCAUCUUUAAUAGGUCUUCUAUGAGUUUUCAUAACAAAAUUUAUGAGGCUAAUAUGAGAACAGAAUUAAGAGACUUUUGUACGGAUUUUAGUUUAUUUUCCUUACAGCACAGCAUUCUAGAGUGGAACAUUUUGGCCCACUAUUCUUUUACACCAUGUAAUAAGGCAGAAAUAUUUACACAAAGCAAUAUUAUACUAAGUUAAUGACCCUUAAUUAAGCAGAAAUAAUGUCUUAAUUAUUUUCAUA